GAGGGUAUAGUUCAAGUGAUAGAGCACACGCUUAGCAUGGCAUGGGGUCCUGGGUUCAAUCCCCAGUACCUCCU
rnacentral:tRNA from 1 species